rnacentral:rRNA from 1 species
UACAGAGGUCUCAAGCGUUGUUCGGAUUCAUUGGGCGUAAAGGGUGCGUAGGUGGCGCCGUAAGUCGGGUGUGAAAUUUCGGAGCUUAACUCCGAAACUGCAUUCGAUACUGCGGUGCUUGAGGACUGGAGAGGAGACUGGAAUUCGAUGGUGUAGCAGUGAAAUGCGUAGAGAUCAUGAGGAAGACCAGUGGCGAAGGCGGGUCGUCUGGACAGUUCCUGACACUGAGCACGAAGGCCAGGGGAGCGAAACGGG